AUGCAGGGAGUACUAAUGUUCUCCCGUGAGGUCCACCUGAUGUUGUUUUUAUCUGUUGUGCUUAUAGCUGCAAGGGGCUUUGGUCUUCCAGCCAAGACAUCAAACACGAAAGUGAUACUUAAUGGUGGUCAGAAAGUUACAUUCGCCAGGCCAGACGGCUACUUUGCCUUCCACAACGUGCCUGCUGGGACACAUUUGAUCGAAGUCUCCUCACUUGGUUACUUCUUUUCACCUGUUCGAGUGGACAUCAGUGCCAGGAAUCCAGGGCACAUUCAAGCAGCAUUGACUGAAAACAGAAGAGUUCUAAAUGAGCUUGUUUUGGAACCUCUGAAAGAAGAGCAAUACUAUGAGCCGAGGGAGCCUUUCAACAUUUUGUCCCUUUUGAAGAGCCCCAUGGGUAUGAUGGUCGGUUUUAUGGUCCUAAUGGUCGUCGUUAUGCCCAAGAUGAUGGAGAACAUAGAUCCCGAGGAGAUAAAGCAAGCUCAAGAGCAAAUGAGGAACUCACCUGUUCCAUCCUUUUCUGGCUUGCUAGCCAGAGCAAACAGCUAG
rnacentral:rRNA from 1 species